UGAAAUUACGUUUACAGUCCCUUUAAGGACAAACUUUAAGGUCAUGUAAACCUGGAGCUAAACAUUUGUAUUUUAAUCAUUCAACAUAAACACCCUGGUAUUUGAUUUACACAAACCCAACUAAACAAACCUGAAUUUUUGUUUGUUUUGUAAAGAAUCAAAAUGACAACAGAAAACAAGGAAGGACCAGAGGGAGGAGAGGAAAUAGAAAUGACUGAUUUAAAUAUGCCUCAGAAGAAACCUCACAAAUCCAUAUCUCUUGGUUUCUGCAGGAAACAACAGGGAUUUAAUAUAACUGGACAUCUUCUUCUGUUUCUGUUGUUCGUUUUAUCUCUAGCUUUAAUAGUUGGACUCAUAUAUUGGAUGGAUUAAUGUUCUUCAAGAGAGUGACUGUUUGCCUUAAAUCAACAAUCUUAAUACAUAUGUUAUCAGUAUUAUUAUUAUAUAAUAAAUUAAAGGGAAUAAUCACUUUUUAAAAGAACACAUUAAACAUCUUUUCUUUCCGACUGUUCAGCAAUAUUUAUUACUUUCUGUCCAAAAGCAGAACAUCGUGAAUUAUCAUGUUAGAAUUAUUAGACAUAAUAAAUGUUUACACAAAAAAACGGGAUGGUUCUUUUAACAAAAAGCGGGAUGGUUCUUUUAACAAAAAGCGGGAUGGUUCUUUGAACAAAAAGCGGGAUGGUUUUUUUUAACAAAAAAGCGGGAUGGUUCUUUUAACAAAAAGCGGGAUGGUUCUUUUAACAAAAAGUAUCAAAAUAUUUUCCUUCUGUACAUUUGUGUUUGAUAGUGUUCCUAAUUCUAAAAAAUAGGAUUAAAUGUGUUUUUUCCUUCAAAAAUGUGAACAAUCCCUUUAGUUAAAUUAUUUAUGAC